UGACAGGAGUUGGUUCUUAACUACCCUACAAGUUCAGACCUACGCAAGAACCCCCAAAGUGCAGCCAUACACUACCUGCAGCAGAAGCUGCUCCAGCUGGGUUUGGUUUUUUAAGUUGCUCAGCAGCAACUUGAUGAGCAGUUAAUGCUCAUCUCUCUCCAAGGUCAACAGAGACGAGGAACGUGUAGCAUCGUUUAGAGGCACAAGUGAUCUGAGAGUCCCAGCUGGGGACUCUCCUGAGAGAAGCUUGCAGGUACAGGGCUGAUGACAAGGAACCAGCACGCAAGGGCAGUGAGUGAGCCCCCAGCAGAAGCCACAGCCAGCUGGCCACAGAGGGUCCCUGGCUGGACAAUCCUUCAGAUCAAAGAAGACAUGCUUAAUUUUGCAGAUUCAUAUAGGGCAUUCCAUUUGGAUUAUCCAAGACAAAAUUUACAUUAGUGACUCCAGCUCAAAUUACAGCCUGUCACCCUGAUGUGUGCUGCUGGUGAUACACCAAAAGCUGAGUUAGGAUCCUGGCUUUGCAAUAUACGACAUAAGGAAAACAUAAAAAUACACUUCAGGACAUACCAAGAUCAGCAUGUUGAGUAGGAAGCCUCUUCAGAUAGUCAGUUAUUGAUAACAGAAAGUUGGACAUAAGUAUGUGUACAUUUGUCCCAUAUCUCUAUCCCCAAUGUAGUGUAUUCUACAGGGUUUCCUAAAUGGAUUCUUACUCAAGCUAGAGCAUAUCUUUCAGUACAACUAUUCUCUGAUUUUAAAAUCUGUAGCAAUUCAGAACUUACUUAAUCUUCACUAUGUUAUUCUAGAGAAAUGCAGAAGUAAUGUAACUUUUACUUCCCUAUUUGACAGCUCCCUUUUAAUAAAAUCAUAGAUGGUAUUUGCUACUUAUUGUUUUUGGAAGAUUAUACACAGCUGAUAUCUACUGCAAGCACUGGCACUCCACAAAAUCAUUCAGCUCAUUUAAAAUUCCUGGAUACAGGUGUGUGGAUAUCUUGAUUUUAACACUAAUUUCAGUACUUUGGGUUUAAGCUCCUGAGUUACAGUUGGAAAGGAAAACAUUUAUGACCACUAUACUCAUUAUAUGAUACAGAUUUUUCUGAAAUAAAGCCAGUUCUAUCACUUCUAUUGUUCUACUGUUUUAAGGUAGUGAAAAAGAGUAAUAUUGUUCAGGCUUUCUCCUUAAUAGAUUUAAAAAUUAUCUUGGUGGACAUGGAUCUGCCUGUACUUAUGUUUCCUUUAUUAUUAUUCUGCAGUUUUAAGCCUCUCACUCAUAUGUAUUGCUACAGGCUUCCUUUUCUCCAUAUAUAUAACUAAAUAUAUUCAUAUAUACAUGUAACAGCUAUCUUCCCUUCUCUACUAACAUACUACUUGGUGAUU